rnacentral:rRNA from 1 species
UACGUAGGGUGCAAGCGUUGUCCGGAAUUACUGGGCGUAAAGAGCUCGUAGGUGGUUUGUCGCGUUGUUCGUGAAAACUCACAGCUCAACUGUGGGCGUGCGGGCGAUACGGGCAGACUGGAGUACUGCAGGGGAGACUGGAAUUCCUGGUGUAGCGGUGGAAGUGCGCAGAUAUCAGGAGGAACACCGGUGGCGAAGGCGGGGUCUCUGGGCAGUAACUGACGCUGGAGGAGCGAAAGCGUGGGGAGCGAACAGG